rnacentral:rRNA from 1 species
AACGAACGCUGGCGGCGUGCCUAACACAUGCAAGUCGAGCGGGAAAGCCCGCAAGGGUGAGUACAGCGGCGCACGGGUGCGUAACACGUGGGUAAUCUGCCCUGAAGCUCGGGAUAACUCGCCGAAAGGCGUGCUAAUACCGGAUGAGACCACGGGAGCCUCGGCCCCUGCGGGAAAAGGUGGCCUCUGCAGACCAGCUAUCCCUUCAGGAUGAGCCCGAGCCCCAUCAGCACGUUGGCGGGGUAACGGCCCACCAAGGCUACGACGGGUAGCUGGUCUGAGAGGACGAUCAGCCACACUGGAACUGAGACACGGUCCAGACUCCUACGGGAGGCAGCAGUGGGGAAGCUUGCGCAAUGGGCGAAAGCCUGACGCAGCAACGCCGCGUGUGUGAUGAAGGUCUUCGGAUCGUAAAGCACUGUCGGGAGGGACGAAUAAGGGCCGGGUGAACAAUCCGGUCUGAUGACGGUACCUCCAAAGGAAGCACCGGCUAACUCUGUGCCAGCAGCCGCCGUAAUAC